CUUCCUCGAUCUGCUGCGGGCAGAUGAAGUGGAUGUGGGUAUCGACGCCGCCGGCGGUGACGAUCUUGCCUUCGCCGGCGAUGAUCUCGGUGGCGGCGGCAAUGAUCAUGUCCACGCCGGGCUGGAUAUCGGGAUUGCCGGCCUUGCCGAUGGCGGCGAUCAUGCCGUCGCGCAGGCCGAUGUCGGCCUUGACGAUGCCCCAGUGAUCGACGAUGACGGCGUUGGUGAUCACCGUAUCCAUCACCAGCGGGUCGGUGCGGCAGCGCUGCGACUGGCCCAUGCCGUCGCGGAU
rnacentral:sRNA from 1 species